rnacentral:rRNA from 1 species
UACGUAGGGGGCUAGCGUUGUCCGGAAUCAUUGGGCGUAAGGCGCGUGUAGGCGGUCCGGUAAGUCCGCUGUGAAAGUCGGGGGCUCAACCCUCGAAUGCCGGUGGAUACUGUCGGGCUCGAGUGCGGGAGAGGCGAGUGGAAUUCCUGGUGUAGCGGUGAAAUGCGCAGAUAUCAGGAGGAACACCGAUUGCGAAGGCAGCUCGCUGGAACGUUACUGACGCUGAGACGCGAAAGCGUGGGGAGCAAACAGG